AUGGCGAUGCAUCCCCAGGUUGCUUUACUCCUCACCCUCAUCCUCCUCCUUGCGGCUGGAGACGGCAGCCUCGCCGUCGGCACUCCAUCGGCGAUCAUCAGAAAGACAUGCACCGCUCUUGACCGACCCGGCGGGAGCGUGGAUUACGACUACUGCGUGGGCGUGCUCUCGGCCGACCCGGCGGGCGCGUCCGCCAAGGACGCACGUCAACUCGCCGUCAUCGCCACCAACCUCACCGUGGCCAACAUCACGUCGACGGUGCUCGUCCUCGAGGACCUCGUCAAUAGCCUCAGCGACUGCCUCCGCAUCUACAGGGAAAUGAACAGGCCCCUGGAGGCCGCGCUCGGUGACCUCCGUGCCGGGCAUGUCAAAGCGGCGAACGACAAACUGAGUCAUGUCUUCGGAGAGCCCGAGCACUGCGACAUGCUCUUGUUCGCGGGGAGCGCCCACAAGAACCCGAUAAGCAAGGAGAACACCGACGCCGAUUUGCUGACCCGACUGGGAUUCGACAUUACUAGCUUGAUUCUUGGUUACAUUCGUUAA
rnacentral:rRNA from 1 species